UGAGGAGUAGCUCAGAAGGCAGAGCGCCUGGCUGUUAACUAGGUUGUCGCUGGUUCGAUUCCAGCCUCCUCAG
rnacentral:tRNA from 1 species